UACAGAGGGUGCAAGCGUUGUUCGGAAUUAUUGGGCGUAAAGCGCGUGUAGGCGGCUUUGCAAGUCGGGUGUGAAAGCCCUCAGCUCAACUGAGGAAGUGCGCCCGAAACUGCAGAGCUUGAGUGCCGGAGAGGGUGGCGGAAUUCCCCAAGUAGAGGUGAAAUUCGUAGAUAUGGGGAGGAACACCGGUGGCGAAAGGCGGCCACCUGGACGGUAACUGACGCUGAGACGCGAAAGCGUGGGAGCAAACAGG
rnacentral:rRNA from 1 species